UAUAUAGACAAAACGUUUUACAUCUAGCCACAAUAUCCCCAGAUGCAAAGCUAAACGCGGUGGCAAUCCUGUAAUUAUGGUAAAAAUUGUCUAAAAUAAUUUCACAUAUGACCAUAAUAUCCCCGGAUGUAAAAAGACUUCAAGUGAUUAAUAAUUGGUCUCACAGCAACAUCUCUCACACGAUCUCCUUCAUCUCUGACUGCUCACUCGAACCCUAGCGACCGGCCUCAUCUCUCACGAUCGAUCUCAUCUUCUCUCUCAGAUCUCACUCGAACUCGGCGGCCUCAUCUCUCUCACGAUCGAUCUCGUCUUCUCUCUCACUGAUCUCACGUACUCGCUCAUCUCUGUCGUCUCUCUGUCUCACUGAAACAUGAAUUGAUGGCUGAAACGGAAAUUCCAAAACCCAGUUAAACACAAAUUGAAGGCUGAAACACAUCUCUGUCAUCUCUAGCUGAAACCUAGAGAAAAGGUUUAAUUGGUAGUGCAUUUGCAUCGAAGGGUUGAUUUGGUUAGGUCAAGAUGUUCACUGAAGGACUUGACAAAAACCCAUUUAGAUGGGUCAGAGAGAAGGAAGUGUCAUUCAUCGAGAGAUCCGGUGAUGAGGAGUGCUGCUAAUGAAAUGCAAGGUCACGGGGUGUGUUUCACUUGCUGUGUUGAUUUGAGGUAGGUUUGUGGUUGAAUUGUGUAAAGGUCCGAUAUUUUUAUACUUCUGGUAGUUUGUGCUGAGCAACGAUAGACGUAUUUUAAACUGUGGUUUCGAUAUAAUAAAAGAAAGAUAUUGUCAGUUUGAUAAGAACUAGAUUUGAGAGAAGGAAAGAAAAGAAUUCCCUAUUGGAAUUGAAUGAAUGAACUACACUGAAGUGUUUUAGAGACCUUAACUCUGCUUUCUCUAGUCCACAAAUUUCACUUUCUGGUGUCUUUAAUUCUACUUGCUUACUAACUGCUAGGUUUUUUGAGAAGAAACACCGGUAAUCUAGUCAAAUAAACAAAAUAAAUCCUAACCUCCGAGCUACACUUGGGCAUCCUUAUAUAGACCUCCAAAGUUACAAAAGGAUAACUACCAAUUAACACCCUAACUAAACCUAACUAUCACAAGGGCUACAAAGCCUAAUUCCUAAACUAACUCAAACAACUAAAACAAGUAGGAAGUAGUAUCAAUGGUUCUCUUCCAAAAAGUAAGGCUUAUAUGUUACCAGGGGAUACUUCUAUGUGCAAAGUUCUGCAGAAAAGGUAUGAAAUAUCCUAAGAAAUUUUUCUGCAAUUUUUUUCAUUUCAAUUUUGGUUUUUAAGUACUUGGCACUACUUUCUCUGAAUGAAUGAAGUACUAAUGUAGCACCAGCAUUUUAGAUUUAAGGCAUGUCCGGUCAGUGUCCGAUGUUGCCACCGACCAUGUGGUUACAUUCAAAUAUUUUACUUUCUCAAAUUAUUAUUGGUGUGUGUGUUUGUGCUUUAUAGAUGUAUUAUCUUGGCCUGCUGGAAUUAGCCUAACUGUGUUUUAUGCCAUGAAAAUUUUCAAAAUGGAAAACUAUCUGAGUGCUCCACCAUUUUGUGGCUCUACUCAAGAGAUUAGACAAACUAAUGAGGAAAUUUCAACUUCUGCAGCAUGUAGUACUCCAAAUAAUGCAGAUUCAAGUACUUUGAAAUCUGUAUCCAGGGAUAAGUUAGAGAACCAUGAAGAUGCAAGCUUGAAACAUUUGUUAGGUUAGUAUAUUUGAUCGAAUUUGUAUGCAAUUAUGCAGGAUGAAUUUUCAGCCGUUAUAAUAAAAUCAUUGGUAACCUUAGAGGAUGGGGCUUAUCAGAUUUUUCAGGAGGCAGGACAAAGUCUUUCAAAGGCCAGAUUAUAGGUCUCAUUUACGCAACUCAGUACCUACGAGUCCCUCUUAUACUUUUUAACUCCGUCUUCAUUAUUGUAAAGUUCGUUUCUGGGUGAUGUCUAGCAAGGUGCUGGAGGUUUACAUCGCAUGAUUAUGAUGUUGCCGAUGAUGAAGCUUAGGAGCUAGCUAGGUUAAUUUGUGUGAUGUUACAAUGGAUUCACAUUAAUUAGGAUGUUUUGAAUUGUAAUGACUUGUAUUUUGCUCGAAUGUUAUAACAUUUUGGAUUGUUGGUAUUUUGCUUGAAUUGUAAGACUUGGUAUUUUAUUUGAAUUGUAAUGACUUGGUUGAAUG